GGCUCAGACAGCCAGGAUGUUGGCUUAGAAGCAGCCAUCAUUAAAGAAAGCGUAAUAGCUCACUGGUCGAGUCGGCCUGCGCGGAAGAUGUAACGGGGCUAAGUAGUAAACCGAAGCUGCGGCAAUACUCUUUGAGUAUUGGGUAGGGGAGCGUUCUGUAAGCGGUUGAAGGUGUGUGGUAACGCAUGCUGGACGUAUCAGAAGUGCGAAUGCUGACAUGAGUAACGAUAAAGGGGGUGAAAAACCUCCUCGCCGGAAGACCA
rnacentral:rRNA from 1 species